rnacentral:rRNA from 1 species
ACGUAGGGUCCGAGCGUUGUCCGGAAUUAUUGGGCGUAAAGAGCUCGUAGGCGGUAUGUCGCGUCUGCUGUGAAAGACCGGGGCUUAACUUCGGUUUUGCAGUGGAUACGGGCAUGCUGGAGGUAGGUAGGGGAGACUGGAAUUCCUGGUGUAGCGGUGAAAUGCGUAGAUAUCGGAAGGAACACCAGUGGCGAAAGCGGCUUCCUGGUCCAGCACCGACGUUCAGGCACGAAAGCGUGGGGAGCAAACAGGA